CCAAAUUCAAGAGAAGGAGAGAGAAAGAAGAGGCACGAAUUCUAGAGAGAGAGAGAGAGAAGAGAAAGAAUGAGAAGAGAAGAGGAGAACCUUGAAGUCAUAGAGGUUGGUUGAAGUGAGAAUAUUUUGUGUUCUUGAUUUUACAAAUCAAGAGAGGUUUGCUGCAGCAAACCUAAAGCAUUUUGAUCAGGCAAAUUUUGGGGCACAUGGAGCGUGUGGCAGUCAAUGGGUGAGCUGACAUUUUGCCUGAGGUGGCAAGGACAGAAGGAACUAGUCAGCAUAUUGGAGAAAAGGACAAAAAUCAGAAGAAAGGAGAACUUCAUGUUUUUGGAGAAAAAGGGGCAAUAUGGUACUUUUGGAAGAAAGAGGAGAAAAACCUAGAAUACAAAAAAGAGGUAUCAGCUGUAAAUGAAAAAAAAGGCAGCAGCCAUUUUUGGAAAAGAAAAACCAAAAAAAGAAAGAAGAAAAACUCGGAAUAUCAACAAGGAAGAAGGAGGACAAACAAAGAAAGCUCAAGCAUCAUUUUGGAUUUGUUCUUUCUUCUUUUCCUAACCAUUAUUUUAUUAAUUUCUGAGUUGGAUUCUAAUUCUGAAUAUUAUGGGCCGUUUUGAUUAUGGAUUAUUGUUUAUGAACUCAGCCAUGAACUAAUUUUUAGGUGGCUUAAAUUGUUGAUGAACCCUAUGUUAUAGUCUAUUAAUUUCUUGCACUUUAUUUUAGUAAA